AUUGAACGCUGGCGGAAUGCUUUACACAUGCAAGUCGAGCGGCAGCACGGGGGCAACCCUGGUGGCGAGCGGCGAACGGGUGAGUAAUACAUCGGAACAUGCCCAGUCGUGGGGGAUAACACUUCGAAAGAAGUGCUAAUACCGCAUACGUCCUGAGGGAGAAAGCGGGGGAUCUUCGGACCUCGCGCGAUUGGAGUGGCCGAUGUCAGAUUAGCUAGUUGGUGGGGUAAAGGCCUACCAAGGCAACGAUCUGUAGCUGGUCUGAGAGGAUGAUCAGCCACACUGGGACUGAGACACGGCCCAGACUCCUACGGGAGGCAGCAGUGGGGAAUUUUGGACAAUGGGGGCAACCCUGAUCCAGCCAUUCCGCGUGAGUGAAGAAGGCCUUCGGGUUGUAAAGCUCUUUCGGCAGGAACGAAACGGCGAGCUCUAACAUAGCUUGCUAAUGACGGUACCCGAAGAAGAAGCACCGGCUAACUACGUGCCAGCCGCCGCCGUAAGAC
rnacentral:rRNA from 1 species